rnacentral:rRNA from 1 species
GACGAACGCUGGCGGCGUGCUUAACACAUGCAAGUCGAACGAUGAACCCGGAGCUUGCUCCGGUGGAUUAGUGGCGAACGGGUGAGUAACACGUGAGUAACCUGCCCUUGACUCUGGGAUAACUGCGGGAAACUGUAGCUAAUAUCGGAUACUACCCUCGGCGGCAUCGCCAGGGGUUGGAAAGAAGUUCGGUCAAGGGUGGACUGGCGGCCUCUCGGCUAGUUGGGGAGGUAACGGCUCACCAAGGCUACGACGGGUAGCCGGCCUGAGAGGGUGACCGGCCACACUGGGAAUGAGACACGGCGCAGACGCCUACGUGAGGCAGCAGUGGGGAAUAUUGCACAAUGGGCGCAAGCCUGAUGCAGCAACGCCGCGUGAGGGAUGACGUCCUUCGGGUUGUAAACCUCUUUUAGUAGGGAAGAAGCGAAAGUGACGGUACCUGCAGAAAAAGCACCGGCUAACUACGUGCCAGCCGCCGCAGUAA